CAUGCCCAAAAAUCAGAUAAAUAUGUGAAAAGGCUCCUUCUAACAGAAAAACUCUUCAACUGGGUGCUGAUUUAAAACAUCGAUGAUUUUUCUUGAUGUUUUCCAAAGAGGUGCCUUUAUCUAAUUUCUCAUGCCCCAUCAGGAAUAACCACCAGAGAAUUUAAAUAAAGAGAAGUCUUCUUUCAGAAGUACUCUUCAGGGGGGUGCUAUUUUGAAUUGGCAUCUUUUCUCUCGAUGUUUCUCCAAAGAGGUGCAAGCCAUCUCAAGGGGCGUCAACCAUUUCCAUGGUUGGAUCUUCAUCC
rnacentral:lncRNA from 1 species